rnacentral:rRNA from 1 species
GACGAACGCUGGCGGCGUGCUUAACACAUGCAAGUCGGACGGGAUCCCAAGGCUUUUUGUUUUUGGUGAGAGUGGCGAACGGGUGAGUAACACGUGAGUAACCUGCCCCCUUCUUUUGGAUAACCGCAUGAAAGUGUGGCUAAUACAGGAUAUUCCAGGCUGGUCGCAUGAUUGGUUUGGGAAAUGGUUUGGUCUGGUGGGGGAUGGGCUCGCGGCCUAUCAGCUUGUUGGUGGGGUGAUGGCCUACCAAGGCGGUGACGGGUAGCCGGCCUGAGAGGGUGGGCGGUCACACUGGGACUGAGAUACGGCCCAGACUCCUACGGGAGGCAGCAGUGGGGGAUUUUGCACAAUGGGCGCAAGCCUGAUGCAGCGACGCCGCGUGAGGGAUGAAGGCCUUCGGGUUGGAAACCUCUUUCGCUGGGUUGAAAGGCCAUGCUUUGGGUGUGGUUGAUUUGAACUGGUAAAGAAGUACCGGCUAACUACGUG